UGAGAGCACCAUGUUUCAUUGAACAACAUUCAAAUGAAUCACUUCAGACUAAGGGUCACUGAUUGGCUGAAUGUGGUGUUUCUCCUUGAAACAGUUCCUGUUCUGGUGAAUGGAGAGGUUCUACGGACCAAUGAGAGAAAAGCGGUGAGGAUGCAACUGUGAUCCAGGAAGAAACAGCCCAUUGUUCCCGAGACGUCGGAGAAGUGUGACCCAGGUCCCGCUGAGCUUUGACUUCCCAGCCUAACGGCAUAAAGACAAACUCGCCGCACCAUUGACAGGUCACGAUGAGUGGGGGAGUCAAUGUGAAGCCUGCCACACGUGGGCCUCCCUCAUCUGGAAUCCCCCUCCCUCGUAGCCUGCUGUCCUCCUCUCCUAAAGCAGCAGAUCCCCGCCGCCGGGCUGGUGACCCACCCAGACCUUCCUCACAGAUUCCCAAGAACACGCCCACACACUCUUCGUUGCUUCAGCCGAGAAAAUCCAGCAUCCCUGGGCUCUCCACCAGGGAUUUGUUGAGAGAUGCUGGACUCAGAAGUCAACUGUUCCAUCGAUCAGGAGCUCUGCCUGUUUCUCAGGUGUCACGUUCGGCUUACAGCAGCCCACUUACCCAACGCCGCACACCGCUGCCACCACACUCCAAAGACACAUUAGACCUGGGAAGACUGAGUACUCCUACUAUUCAAUUUACACAUGAUGGAAAUCACAACAGAAGCACCUUCAAAAACAAAAACCAGGCAUGGGGAGACAGCAACCUGUGCCCACCUCUGUAUUUGAGGACAGGGAACAAUUCCAACAGUGCAAACCACUCAAUGGAGCGACGUGAAAGAGAGGCAGAGUCUCCCAAAAUCCAAACACUACAGAACAAUGGUAAUAAUCCCACUGCUGUCAGAGGUCAGUGUGGCUCCAGCAGCCAAUCAGACGAGGAGAUGGGAACUCCUGAGGACCGCAGUCCAACGUCCUUUCCUGGCCCUCUGCCACUCCCACUCCUCACGUUCACGAUACCAGUUCAAUCAAAAGCUGGUAGAUUGAAGUCAAACCAACACAAAGAGGCGGAGCCUGCAGAGACACACACACCCAGAGUCAACAUGGCGGCGGUGGCUCCUUUCAGCUACAGGUUGGAGACUCAGGAAAGGAAAUUUUCAGUGGAUGAAUUAAGCGAUUGCUCUUCAGGAUCCAUUGAAGUGUGCUGUGAUGACCUAACACCAGGUAAGACACUCCUGGUGGUGUCAGUGCUUAUAGGACAAAGCUUUAUUUUUUCUUUCUCAGUAUGUGAACAUAAUUUAAUACAACAUUUUUUCG
rnacentral:lncRNA from 1 species